rnacentral:lncRNA from 1 species
CCUUUUUCUUAUCUCUCUGUACUUAGAUGUUAUUAAGUUAAUUUUUAAACUUUUUUUCUUUUUUAUCCUCUUUUUUCUUCUUCUUUUACUUAUUCACUUUCCUUUUACUUAUUCUCCUUUUCAUUUUUCUCUUUUUAUCCUUCUUUUUCUUCUUCUUUGUCUUCUUAUUCUCCUCAUUCUCAUUCUUCAGCUUCUCCUUUUUUUCUACUCAUCUUUC